rnacentral:lncRNA from 1 species
AAAGUCAACAACCACAAUGUGAGGUAUCACGUAACGCGGAGUGAACCUGACCAAUCAUACUACAUAUUUAAAAUUUUUAUUAAUAAAAGUAUUCAGAAUUAGAAAGAUAAGAUCCAUGUAUAUUCAUUUGUGAGUGUGAUCUGUAGAACACUAGAUAGCUAGCUAGUUUUACAUCCGCAUCACAUACCUCAUUUUUAAAAUAAAAUUCUAGGUAAAAAUUAAAUUUUGGGUACACAAAUGCCAACUAAAACUAGAGUAUAUUACAAUGUUAUAAAUAACAUGUACUUUAAUAAAGCUGGCUAGGAAACAUAUAAGCUGAAAUGAUUGCUGAUGUAUCCUUGUUUGUUUGUUUUUUCUGUCGGGUAAAGGCAAAUGGUG